GGAAAAAUAGUUUAAGAAAAACAAUUAAUUGUGAAUUAAUAAAUGAAAAAAAUUUCUUUUUCCA
rnacentral:tRNA from 1 species